rnacentral:rRNA from 1 species
UACAGAGGGUGCAAGCGUUGUUCGGAAUUAUUGGGCGUAAAGCGUGCGCAGGCGGUUCGUUGUGUCGGCGGUGAAAGCCCCGGGCUUAACCUGGGAAUGGCCGUUGAAACUGGCGAACUGGAGUGUGGCAGAGGGGGGUGGAAUUCCGCGUGUAGCAGUGAAAUGCGUAGAGAUCGGGAGGAACACCUGUGGCGAAGGCGGCCCCCUGGGCCGGCCCUGACACUGAGACGCGAAGGCGUGGGGAGCGAACGGG